CUGGCGGCAGGCCUAACACAUGCAAGUCGAACGGUAGCACAGAGGAGCUUGCUCCUUGGGUGACGAGUGGCGGACGGGUGAGUAAUGUCUGGGAAACUGCCCGAUGGAGGGGGAUAACUACUGGAAACGGUAGCUAAUACCGCAUAACGUCGCAAGACCAAAGAGGGGGACCUUCGGGCCUCUUGCCAUCGGAUGUGCCCAGAUGGGAUUAGCUAGUAGGUGGGGUAACGGCUCACCUAGGCGACGAUCCCUAGCUGGUCUGAGAGGAUGACCAGCCACACUGGAACUGAGACACGGUCCAAACUCCUACGGGAGGCAGCAGUGGGGAAUAUUGCACAAUGGGGGAAACCCUGAUGCAGCGACGCCGCGUGAGCGAUGAAGGCUUUCGAGUCGUAAAGCUCUGUC
rnacentral:rRNA from 1 species